CCGGCCGCGCAUCUGAGCGUUGGCCUGUUGCUUCGCCCGUCUGCAUGCCUGUUUUUCAAUUUUGUAUUUAGCCUAGUUUGGUGGGCUCCAGGCGAAUUCUUGCGUUCCUCUGAACUCCGACAUGGCACCGUUGCACUAUUAGACUAUGGCAAGCUGACGUCAUCUGGUGGAGCUUCCUACGGAAACUACUGCUGCUUACCUGGUGCCACAACGUUGGAUGAAUGCACAAAAAGCCCGCAACGAGCAUUUAUAAAGAAUAAAAUAUACAUUUCCACAUU